CCUUGUUUUGCUUUACAAGGUUUUUCAGGCUGUACAGGUCAGUGGAGGUGUGGUUGUGUACAGUGGCUUUGAGGUUGUACAAAGGUUGAGCUGUGUCCUUGUAAGAUUAUUUUAAAAGCCUUCUAAUGUUUUGUGAGAAUGGAGCAUGGAUGGAGGGAUGGAUGAAGAAGGUAAAUGGAGUACAUCAGAUGGAGCUCUACAAGUACAAUCCGAUCCAUCCCAUCACAGAGCAACACUUCAUUAAAAUCCAAUCUCUGAUAAUGGAUGCACAUCCUGGUCUGGACAGGACCAACACCAGAAAGGAAAAGAAGUCUGACUGGAGUAAAGUAAUUUUCGAGACACCAGUUUUUUCUGGUGGAAUCCGGGGAAUGCAGUUCUGUGGGCAGAAAUGAAAGAGAGCAACAGUUUAGGGAAGACUCAUUCCUGCAUGAACUGAGCACAAUGCAAGGGUUUGACCACUUUGAUGUGAAAGAACCCCAGUGGCCUGGCCCGAGCUCUGACCUCAACCCUAUAGAACACCAUGGAGCCUUCCCAUCCAACAUCACUGUCCGGCUACAUCACUGUCGGCUACAUCACCUCCUGACCCCAAAAAUGCACUUUUGACAGGAUGAGCAUAAAUUCCAACACAGUCCAAAAUAUUUAAAAAGAAAAUGGAAAAGUGUAUGCUUUUAGAACAGGAUGUCUGACAGGCUUAUGGUCAAGUGUUCAUGUACUUUCUGCAAUAUACAGUACAUGUGUAUUUAAAAACUACUGCUUUUGAAGUACUUAUGCCAAAUCAAACCCUCACAAUGUACAU